UCCUCAUUCGUCUAGUGGCUAGGAUGGGUGCCUCUCACGCACCAGGCCGGGGUUCAAUUCCCCGAUGGGGAA